rnacentral:piRNA from 2 species
AGGGGCUGGAGAGAUGGCUCAGUGGC